AGGCAAAAUGGCAGUUAAACUGGUUUCCGACUUUCCUCUGGAACGCUCGACUGCUUAAGAGAAAAAUGCCUCAAAUGAGCAUGUGCACAACUCCAGCAAACACGCUGGACAUGCGGCCUCUCCCAAGUGCUGGCAGGCCACUGCACAUGUGGACCCACGGGAAGAAUCAGGAGAGAAGAAAUGCAAACCCCAGAGUCAUGCCAAGCCAUGUGUGUGAAUGACAGCUAUGGAUUGGCAGCAUGCUGCCCUCCUUCUCAGGAAGAGAUGGCUGAUGGCAUGUUGCAGAUGUAAUGGUGAAGUUGAGAUGAUGAUCAGAGUCUUACUUCAGACAAAUCAUGAGUCUCAGAGGAAGUGAUGACAGAGAUGUCUGUGGAAACUAUUGAAGAGGAAGGCUUUGCUAAAUCUUCAUGGAGAGAGUCCUUUCUAUGGAGGAGACAUUAUGCUAGAAUUUUCACACAGAUUAUUUUAUUUAACUCCAAGAACUACUCCAUGAAAUAGGCAUGAUCAUCACCUUCAUUGUUUACAGAGAUUCUGGCUUCCCCACUGUAAGAACUGAAGAUACUGCAGCUGAAUUGAUGUCAUGAAAAGGCCUUCAUUCAAUUAGAGUGGGUAUCUUGUGUGGUCUCUAUUUAAUAACUUCCACUUUUGUACAUUUCAAUUUCUGUACGUGCUCUGAGAUAAACAGCCAGAGUCUUUAAGCAAGAGAGACAACAACUAAAAACAACAAUGAAAACUUAGUUACAGCUACAGCGAUAUAUAGGUCUUUAUAAAAGUAGCAGUUCCAUUGUGAAGGCGGUGAUAAAUGUAAAACCAUAAAUUCUGGAAAUAGUCGUAGUAAAUAGAUAGAAACAAGAGUGGUUCACAGAUAAGGAUAUGAAGCAUACUCACUGUAUUUUACCAAAAAUGAUGUUCCUAUAUUUUGUAGACCAGAGAGCCUUUUUAAAGGAAACAAAUUCAUAACCAAAUACCAUCUAGAAUUACCUCUAUUAAUAAAUUGUCAAUGUAAUAUUUUAAUUAAAACAUAUAUCACGUAUUUUCUUCUCUGUAUAAUUUUAUAAAAUAUCUAUGAUAAGAAAGAAAAUAAUGGAAUGCAUUUUCUUUAACAUAUUAUCCUACAUUAUACUCUUUCUAAUCUCUAGAGAC
rnacentral:lncRNA from 10 species